rnacentral:misc_RNA from 1 species
CACAGAACGAAUUUCUCUUUUUUUUUUUUUUUUACUGUUUUCACUUUUUUUUAUAAUUGAAUUUAAUUAGAAAAAUAAUCUUAUACCUGUUGCUAGUAGAGGUUCAGAAUAUGUAGUUUUCAGUCCAUUUCAAAGUACUCAAAAUAAGAGUGAGGAGAGGUUUGAUUCCAAUUACAUAGCUUCAAAUGCUUGUCCUUUGAAAUAUCCUUUAAAUAAGGAAGAAGUAAUCUAAGUUACUUGUGUUAUCUUUCUUCCAUGGACUAACGGGGGAAGAACUGGUGUCUUGUUUCCAUCUUUGCAUGCCCUUAAUUGUGUUAAAUCUUUCACUUCCUUUUCUAGGUCUGCCAUUUUAAAGUUAUCAUUUUAUGUGAGGGUGUUGUCGCUUUCAUAUUAUUGCUGUAUUCUUAAGGAACUAGGAAUAGGCCUUUUCCUCUCCUUGGCACCUACUCUGUGCACCAUGUACAAUGCUUCCUUAAGCUCCCUUAAUUGAGGUUUUGUUAAUGGUUAGAGAUAGAGAUGGUUUCUAAGUACACUAACUAGUGUCCUUAGUGUCAAAUUCUCGUCAUCUGUGUUUACUAUUUGGGCAAAAUCUUCUGGCCCCAGUGACAGCAUGUGAGCAUGUGAAGCCGUAUAUUUAAUUUUGGUGAUAUCUUUAGCUGUUCCUUGCAAUAUCUGGUUUAUGUGGUAUGACUGGCUGCUUCUUAAAAAUUGAAAUGUUUGUUAUUUUGAUAAUAUUGGCUUAACAAUGAUUCUAUUUAUUGAUAUAUUUUAUACUUUGAAUUUCCUUUGCUUUCUAACACUGCUUGGUGUACCUGUUCUUUGAAUUGUUACACAGCCCAAGCAAAUUCAUGAGAUUAAGGAUUUCCUUCUCACUGCAAGAAGGAAAGAUGCACGCUCUGUGAAGAUCAAGAGGAGCAGGGAUGUGGUCAAGUUCAAGGUCCGCUGCUCCAAGUACCUCUACACCCUUUGUGUAUUUGACACUGAGAAGGCUGACAAGUUGAAGCAGUCUCUUCCUCCUGGUUAAUUUUCAAAUCCCAUCUCUUUUGUGCCUAGGCAUUUUACUACAACCACCCCUGUGCAGUCACAACAAAAAUGAAGAAGUAUAUGCAAUAAAAACAAAUGUGUAGGCGCAUUCUAUUAUCUGCAUUAAGAAAAUAUAUAUAUAUCUAAUACAGAAAUGUUGGGUUAUUUAAAGGCAACUAUCAGUGUUUUUGGGUUUGAUUUCAUAUUCUAGAAUGGUAAAAGAAAAGGAUGACUGUUGACUUUUAACUGGUUCUUCCAUCUAAUUGAGUCGGUCUGUUUUCUGGUUGCAGGUUUGAGCGUGCAAGAUCUGUAAAAGCCAGUGGUUGGCCUGUGGCUGUCAAUUAGUUUUCUAGGAGAUGAACCAGAAUUUCUCUUUUGUCACAUUCAAUUUUUGUGAUUGAAAUACUUGUGGAUUUUGGCUUGCUAUUUGAUCAUAUUGCGUAGUUUGUUGUAUAAGACUUGCAUUAUUCUGUUGAGAAAUUUACUAUGAGUUUUGAGUUUUG